rnacentral:rRNA from 1 species
GACGAACGCUGGCGGCGUGCCUAAUACAUGCAAGUAGAACGCUGAAGGAGGAGCUUGCUCUUCUGGAUGAGUUGCGAACGGGUGAGUAACGCGUAGGUAACCUGCCUGGUAGCGGGGGAUAACUAUUGGAAACGAUAGCUAAUACCGCAUAACAGUAGAUGUUGCAUGACAUUUGCUUAAAAGGUGCAAUUGCAUCACUACCAGAUGGCCCUGCGUUGUAUUAGCUAGUUGGUGGGGUAACGGCUCACCAAGGCGACGAUACAUAGCCGACCUGAGAGGGUGAUCGGCCACACUGGGACUGAGACACGGCCCAGACUCCUACGGGAGGCAGCAGUAGGGAAUCUUCGGCAAUGGACGGAAGUCUGACCGAGCAACGCCGCGUGAGUGAAGAAGGUUUUCGGAUCGUAAAGCUCUGUUGUAAGAGAAGAACGAGUGUGAGAGUGGAAAGUUCACACUGUGACGGUAUCUUACCAGAAAGGGACGGCUAACUACGUG